rnacentral:lncRNA from 1 species
ACUCAUGAAUGCAUGUCAAUCUCCAAGCAAAUCAGUGGCUGCUACAUGCACAGGAUAUCCCGUGCAUGAUAGACAUGCCUUUCUCAGCAAGAGGAACUACAUGGUGAGAAGUUCCUGCACACAUAAAAGGAGAAGUUUGCAGGAAAUAGCAAACAUGUGACAAGAGGCUUUCCACGUAUGUGUGGUGCAUAAAUUAUUUGGAAUCAAACUGUUGAGCUGUACUAUAACAUUAAGCCAUUGAGGGAUCAUGAUUUAGUGGCUUGACUGCUUCAUUUGUUAAACACUAAACUUUCAUCCUAAAAUGCAAUUCUUUCAUCUGAUAGGUACAUAACAGAAGUUGAAGCAAUACACUUCAUCCCUUGGUCUUACAUUAAGAUCAGCAGAGACUGGAGCAGUCACACUUGCAAAGCUUCAGGGUAAAAGGCGAAAGAAUCACACCAGAUUUAACAUUAUAUCCAGAUCUCCUUAUCGGGUCUGUCUUUAUGAGCAGAUGGCUACUUUCUUGUUUACCAUGCAUAAAAAAACAG